rnacentral:rRNA from 1 species
UGGUGGUCAUGGCGAGGCUCCCCCACCCGAUCCCUUUCCGAACUCGGCCGUGAAAAGCCUCUGCGCCUAUGAUACUUCGUCUCAAGACGCGGGAAAGUCGGUCGCUGCCAGGUC